ensembl:lncRNA
AAGUGGUGGCAGGGUAGCCUAGUGGUUAGAGUGUAGAGGCGGCAGGGUAGCCUAGUGGUUAGAAUGUAGAGGCGGCAGGGUAGCCUAGUGGUUAGAGUGUAGUGGCGGCAGGGUAGCCUAGUGGUUAGAGUGUAGUGGCGGCAGGGUAGCCUAGUGGUUAGAGUGUAGAGGUGGCAGGGUAGCCUAGUGGUUAGAGUGUAGGGGCGGCAGGGUAGCCUAGUGGUUAGAGUGUAGGGGCGGCAGGGUAGCCUAGUGGUUAGAAUGUAGGGGCGGCAGGGUAGCCUAGUGGUUAGAGUAUAGGGCGGCAGGGUAGCCUAGUGGUUAGAAUGUAGGGGCGGCAGGGUAGCCUAGUGGUUAGAGUAUAGGGGCGGCAGGGUAGCCUAGUGGUUAGAAUGUAGGGGCGGCAGGGUAGCCUAGUGGUUAGAGUGUAGUGGCGGCAGGGUAGCCUAGUGGUUAGAGUGUAGAGGCGGCAGGGUAGCCUAGUGGUUAGAAUGUAGAGGCGGCAGGGUAGCCUAGUGGUUAGAGUGUAGGGGCGGCAGGGUAGCCUAGUGGUUAGAGUGUAGGGGCGGCAGGGUAGCCUAGUGGUUAGAGUGUAGGGGCGGCAGGGUAGCCUAGUGGUUAGAGUGUAGGGGCGGCAGGGUAGCCUAGUGGUUAGAGUGUAGGGGCGGCAGGGUACCCUAGUGGUUAGAGUGUAGGGGCGGCAGGGUAGCCUAGUGGUUAGAGUGUAGGGGCGGCAGGGUAGCCUAGUGGUUAGAGUGUAGGGGCGGCAGGGUAGCCUAGUGGUUAGAGUGUAGGGGCGGCAGGGUAGCUUAGUGGUUAGAGUGUUGGG